rnacentral:rRNA from 1 species
CCGGCGACCGGCGGACGGGUGCGUAACGCGUAUGUAACCUACCUUUGACAGGGGGAUAACAUCGAGAAAUUGGUACUAAUACCCCAUAACAUCACCGGAGGCAUCUUCGGUGAUUGAAAACUCAGGUGGUCAGAGAUGGACAUGCGUUGUAUUAGCUAGUUGGUGAGGUAACGGCUCACCAAGGCGACGAUACAUAGGGGGACUGAGAGGUCAACCCCCCACAUUGGUACUGAGACACGGACCAAACUCCUACGGGAGGCAGCAG